rnacentral:tRNA from 1 species
UUGGAUGUAGCUCAAUGGAAGAGCAUUUGCCAGCAUGUGCAUGGCCCUGGGUUCAAUCCCUAGCACCAAAA